rnacentral:lncRNA from 7 species
CUACUUUAACUACAUAUGAAUAAAAGUUCGUGUUGUUUGUAGGAUUAUUUUCCAUCCGAGUCGAUGAAUGCUACUGUAAAGCUAGUCAGAGGGAAGCUUGAUAAGAUACAAUCUGGUGGUGAUAAUUCCAGUACCUCAGCAGCAUCCAGGAAACCAGGGGUUGAUAAGCGCAGGCGAAUUUGAUUGCAGAUAAUGCCGAGCACGCGUUCAAUGUUUUGGUGUAAUGUUGAUAUUAGCAUAACAUACCAGGAUUUUAAUGGACUUUUUUCUAUCAAUUUUCUCACUCACAUUCUAGGCCAUUAAGUUGUUUAUGUUUCAGGGUGGCGGUGCUAUACUAUAUGGUUAGCUAGAAUUGCUGGAAUAUCGAUAACCGAGUUAAGUUAAAAAUGCCUCGCGUUUAGUUUUCCCAGCUGUAAUGUUAUGUUACUCUUGCAAUCAAUUGCAUCGGAAUUCUCAUAUUUUAU